CGCGAAUCGCCCUUCGGGGUGCCCAGGCGCGAAAACUUUACAAUGCUGGCAACAGCGAUAAGGGGACCUCGAGUGCCAGGAUACAAUCUUGGCUGUCGUGAUGCCUAAAAAGCAUUACAUAGCAAGGGCCGGGCAAGACCGGUGCCAGCCGCCGCGGUAACACCGGCGGCUCGAGUGGUAACCGCUAUUAUUGGGUCUAAAGGGUCUGUAGCCGGCCGGAUAAGUCUCUUGGGAAAUCCAGCAGCUCAACUGUUGGGCUUCCAGGGGAUACUGUUCGGCUCGAGGCCGGGAGAGGUGAGAGGUACUUCAGGGGUAGGGGUGAAAUCUUGUAAUCCUUGAAGGACCACCAGUGGCGAAGGCGUCUCACCAGAACGGUCCUGACGGCAAGGGACGAAAGCUAGGGGCACGAACCGGAUUAGAUACCCGGGUAGUCCUAGCCGUAAACGAUACUCGCUAGGUGUCAGCCACGGUGCGACCGUGGUUGGUGCCGUAGGGAAGCCGUGAAGCGAGCCACCUGGGAAGUACGGCCGCAAGGCUGAAACUUAAAGGAAUUGGCGGGGGAGCAC
rnacentral:rRNA from 1 species